rnacentral:rRNA from 1 species
UGGCGUCUUUGGCGUCCGAGUUGUAAUUUGAAGAAGGUAUCUUUGGGCCCGGCUCUUGUCUAUGUUCCUUGGAACAGGACGUCACAGAGGGUGAGAAUCCCGUGCGAUGAGAUGACCCGGGUCUGUGUAAAGUUCCUUCGACGAGUCGAGUUGUUUGGGAAUGCAGCUCUAAGUGGGUGGUAAAUUCCAUCUAAAGCUAAAUAUUGGCGAGAGACCGAUAGCGAACAAGUACAGUGAUGGAAAGAUGAAAAGAACUUUGAAAAGAGAGUGAAAAAGUACGUGAAAUUGUUGAAAGGGAAGGGCUUGAGAUCAGACUUGGUAUUUUGCAUGCUGCUCUCUCGGGGGCGGCCGCUGCGGUUUACCGGGCCAGCAUCGGUUUGGAGCGGCAGGAUAAUGGCGGAGGAAUGUGGCACGGCUUCUGCUGUGUGUUAUAGCCUCUGACGAUGCUGCCAGCCUAGACCGAGGACUGCGG